ACUCCUACGGGAGGCAGCAGUGGGGAAUAUUGCACAAUGGGGAAAGCCAUCGAUGCAGCAACGACCGCGUGGAGGAUGACACAUUUCGGUGCGUAAACUCCUUUUAUAUAGGGAAAGAUAAAUGACGGUACUAUAUGAAUAAGCGCCGGCUAACUCCGUGCCAGCAGCCGCGGUAAUACGGAGGGCGCAAGCGUUACUCGGAAUCACUGGGCGUAAAGAGCGUGUAGGCGGAUAGAUAAGUCAGGAGUGAAAUCCUAUGGCUCAACCAUAGAACUGCUCUUGAAACUGUCAAUCUAGAGUAUGGGAGAGGUAGAUGGAAUUUCUGGUGUAGGGUAAAAUCCGUAGAGAUCAGAAGGAAUACCGAUUGCGAAGGCGAUCUACUGGAACAUAACUGACGCUGAGACGCGAAAGCGUGGGGAGCAAACAGGAUUAGAUACCCUGGUAGCUACGAGU
rnacentral:rRNA from 1 species